GUUCAUCGGAAAGAACAUAUACUAAAAUUGUAAUAUUAUAGAAAAGAUUAGCUUGGCCCCUGUGCAAGGAUGACACGCAAAUUCGAGAAGCGUUCCAAAUUUUU
rnacentral:snRNA from 1 species